rnacentral:rRNA from 1 species
AUUAGGCUUUAGAUUAGCUAUAUUUGUAUAUUGUUUUAAAUAAUUUUAUAGUAAAUUAUUUAGUAUAAAUUUAAGAAACUUUUUUAAGGAGUAAUAGUUAAUAAAAAUUAUGAAUUUAUUGAAUAAAUAAUGAAAUUGAAAAAUAACUCAAGAUAAGUUAGAAUGUUUAGCAAAAACAUUUCUGUUUGUUUAAUAAAAAGUAGGACCUGCCCAAUGAUGUGUAAAUGGCUGCGGUAUUUUGACUGUGCUAAGGUAGCAUAAUAAUUUGUUUCUUAAUUGGUAACUGGAAUGAAAGGUUGAACUAAUUUAUUUAGUUUGUAGAUUAAAUAAUAAAUUUAAGUAAGGGUAAGAAUUCUUUUAUAAUUUAGGGGACGAUAAGACCCUAGAAGCUUAAUAAAAAGGGUAAAUAUUAGUGAUAUAGUGUUGUUUGUUUUACUGGGGCGGUAGUAGUAAAUAGACUAUUAUAUGUUUGAAUGAUCCUUUAAAUUAAGAUAUAACGGGAAAGUUACUCUAGGGAUAACAGUACAAUAAUUUUGGAGAGGUCUUAUCGAUAAAAUUGUUUGUAACCUCGAUGUUGAAUUAAAAUGUCUAUAUAAUGUAGCAGGUAUAUUAGAUAGGUUUGUUCAAC